GAUGAACGCUGGCGGCGUGCCUAAUACAUGCAAGUCGAGCGAACAGAUGAGGAGCUUGCUCCUCUGACGUUAGCGGCGGACGGGUGAGUAACACGUGGAUAACCUACCUAUAAGACUGGGAUAACUUCGGGAAACCGGCGCUAAUACCGGAUAAUAUAUUGAACCGCAUGGUUCAAUAGUGAAAGUCGGUUUUGCUGUCACUUAUAGAUGGAUCCGCGCCGCAUUAGCUAGUUGGUAAGGUAACGGCUUACCAAGGCGACGAUGCGUAGCCGACCUGAGAGGGUGGUCGGCCACACGGGAGCUGAGACACGGUCCAGACUCCUACGGGAGGCAGCAGUAGGGAAUCUUCCGCAAUGGGCGGAAGCCUGACGGAGCAGCGCCGCGUGAGUGAUGAAGGUCUUCGGAUCGUAAAACUCUGUUAUGAGGGAAGAACAAAUGUGUAAGGAACUAUGCACGUCUUGACGGUACCUAAUCAGAAAGCCACGGCUAACUACGUG
rnacentral:rRNA from 1 species